AGACCUCCAGAAACCAUGUGUCAAGCUCGGAUUGCCUUAGACAGGUGCAAUUUAAGAACAGCUUUCAUCCUCUUUUCUCUCAUAUUGUCACACUAUGUGUUCUGACUUCUGGCUCCUUUCCUCACAAGAAGCUCACCCAGCUGGAACUCUUAUGGGACCUUGGCACCAGAGACCACAAAUUCCUCUUUGAAGUUUUCUAACAGCAACAAUGGUAUUUCUGACUUGGCUUUCUUGUAUUUCUCUCACGUUAACAAAAUUGGUUCAGCAUCUACCAUGGGCUACAUGCUGAGCUACAGAGUUUCGCUCUGUCGCCCAGGCUGGAGUGCAGUGGCGCGCGAUCUCGGUUCACUGCAAGCUCCACCUCCCGGGUUCACGCCAUUCUCCUGCCUCAGCCUCCUGAGUAGCUGGGACUACAGGCGCCCGCCACCACACCCAGCACUGGAUAAAUACAGAACAAGAUAACAAGAGUUCCCAGCAAAGGAUCCAGCUUGAAAUAACACGGUGCUAAGCAUGGAUUUUUCCACCGAAUGAGGAAAUUCUAAUUCUAAUUGUUAGUCUCUUUAUCAAUGACGCCAAGUGGCAAGGAACAUCACCAUCUUUGGAGACCUAGUGGUGGAGUUAAACUACUACAGGGAAACAACUUUACGUAUAGAGGAGUUGAGCUUCCUAGAGGAAAAGAAGGAAAAUCAUUCCUAAUGGAAGAUCAACUAUUCAAGAAAGAAAGAAGAGCAAUGAGAAAGCUCCUUUAUAUUACCCACCAGAGGGAUGAAAGCGAUUGAUUCUACCAGAAGCUAUUGAGAAAUGUAUAUGGCUUUUAGUAGUGGUGAUGAUGAUGAUGAUGACGAUUGUUUUGGCACUUUCAGAAUUCAGAAGCAAUUUGCUGCCUCCUGGGCACUCUACUCAUGACCAGUUAACUUUAAAGUGGUCCUAUUUGCUUUGUGGUGGUCGGGGCUGGCUUAGCAAAAAUUACAAAGGAAUAAAAAGCUAAAUUUAGUAAGUCUAUCUCUACUAUGUUGUGUCUAAUCUUCUUGUGCUGGUUUCCUAGAGUGCCCUCUGCUGGGCCCAACCAGGUCUUCUGAUUCCCAUGAAACCCAUGCCUCAAUUGUCAUCAAAAGCUUACUAUUUUAUGUCACAUGCCAUCAGAAUCCUAGCAUUUGCUUUCCAGAUUGACAAUUAACCAAGGUAAACUAAUCCAUGUUAAUGUGUGAAUGUGUUUUAUUGUAUAAAUGGGAAAAAACCCAAUGCCCCUCUCAGGUCAUUUAAGUAUACAUUUCCGCAAUGACUUUAUGGACGUACUGCUUCUACUUAGUAUCUAACUCUGGUGACUAAUGGUGAGAAUGGAAGCCAGGAAUCUGGGGAAGGCUAUGCUCUGAGAAAUCAAAGGGGAAUAUGUUUUCCAACAGACAGAACCUUGUGGCUCCCCUCAAAUUACACUGUGUGGGCAGCUGUCUACUCAAGCUAUCUGUAUGGCCAAGCCCCAUGGAGGUAAUUUUCACCCUGUCAGCCAGAAAAGAAUGAACAUCAUUGUUUACUUUUAAGUUUUUAUGAAGAAUGCCUUGAGCUCUUUAGAUUGUGUUAUCUAAGUCUUAAUACUAAGUAAGUAUGUGCCAUUGUUUUGGGGAUUAAUUUAUCCAUAAAGAUGUGUAUAGGCUGUACAGUCAUUGGCUUGACCUCUGCUGCCCUGUGUACUUUCUUGUCUACUGAAAUCAGUUGGGCAAUUCUUGUCUGUAAGCACGUUUCCCAAGAACUGGUUGGAGCCAGUCUUCAUAGGAGGAACCUAUUAUGAAACCAGCUCCGAGGAUAUUUACUUUGCUCAAGAUCUACUGAAUGCUACACUUACUUGAAAAUGAAAUUGCUUUCUUUUGGCUCUGACCCAACCCCUUGAAAACCAGCGACCCUUGGGAUUCAGUUAGAAUGAGAUAGAAAGGGGAGAUGAUAUGCUGGGCCUGACUGACAUUUUUCUGCAAGCUUUUCUUAUCGUUUAAACUAGUACUUGCAUAGUUGUUGAAUGUGUGUGUUUCAAGAAGAUCAGCUAAACUGAUAACAUAUUAUCAAGUAAAUAAGGCACCCAAGAUUGGGAACUUGGAGGACAUAGCACAUAUUUUUUGAAGGCCCACCUUUUUUCUUAAAAUUUAAUGUAAAUUUGUAUCUUUCUAUUUAACAUAUCCAGGUCUUAUUUAAGACAAAAAUAACUCAUAUAGUUGCUUUCCAGUUAAGUUAUUUAAUCAUCCAAAUCCUCACUUAAAUAAAUGCUCCAGUGAGAAACAUUGUCUUAUGGCUCCUGAUCUAAAAUUAUACCUCCCUGGAAAUGUAUGUAUCCAAAUUUGAGAAGCACAAGCUUGGAGAAAUAGUGAAGGAGAGAAUUUAGUCAGAGAAAAUGAGUGUGUACUGAUGAUCAAUCCGUAGGUAAGGAGGACUAGCGUAAGUUUUGUUGUAGAUGACUUUCAUAGGAGAGUGGCAGUGGCAUUUGAUGUUGAGACCUAGUACAUAGUUGUAUUGAGAUAAACAUGUUAGGAUUAUCUAGAUAGAGCUAGAAAUGAAGAGAAAAUAAACUCAGAAUAGGGACUCAUCAAGAUGGCUGUGAAAAAGCCAGAAAUGUGAUAAACACUAAUGCAGAUUUCUUGGGCUCCUUACAGACUUAAUAGGAAUUGUGGAUGCACAAAGUA
ensembl:lncRNA LUCAT1 lung cancer associated transcript 1